GGGAGCCGGAUGAGCUGAGAGGUUCAAGUCCGGUUCUGAGAGGGGCUGGGGGUGCAACUCCCCCGGUCUACUCACC
rfam:Smithella sp. D17 contig_128, whole genome shotgun sequence.